UAGAUUGAAGCCAGUUGAUUAGGGUAUW
rnacentral:tRNA from 1 species